CACGUAGUUAGCCGUGGCUUUCUGGUUAAAUACCGUCACUGGGUGAACAGUUACUCUCACCCACGUUCUUCUUUAACAACAGAGCUUUACGAGCCGAAACCCUUCUUCACUCACGCGGCGUUGCUCCAUCAGACUUGCGUCCAUUGUGGAAGAUUCCCUACUGCUGCCUCCCGUAGGAGUCUGGGCUGUGUCUCAGUCCCAAUGUGGCCGAUUACCCUCUCAGGUCGGCUACGCAUCAUCGCCUUGGUGAGCCGUUACCUCACCAACUAGCUAAUGCGCCGCGGGUCCAUCCAGAAGUGAUAGCAGAGCCAUCUUUUAAAAAGAAACCAGGCGGUUUCUCUGUUAUACGGUAUUAGCAUCUGUUCCAGGUGUUAUCCCUGCUUCUGGGCAGGGUUACCCACGUGUUACUCACCCGUCCGCCACUCACUUCGUGUUAAAAUCUCAUUCAGUGCAAGCACGUCAUAAUCAAUUAACGAGUUCGUUCGACUUGCAUGUAUUAGGCACCG
rnacentral:rRNA from 1 species